GAGACAGCAGCCGCCACGGUAAAACGUAGGGUGCAAGCGUUAAUCGGAAUUACUGGGCGUAAAGCGUGCGCAGGCGGUGUUGUAAGACUGAUGUGAAAUCCCCGGGCUCAACCUGGGAACUGCAUUGGUGACUGCAACGCUGGAGUGCGGCAGAGGGGGAUGGAAUUCCGCGUGUAGCAGUGAAAUGCGUAGAUAUGCGGAGGAACACCGAUGGCGAAGGCAAUCCCCUGGGCCUGCACUGACGCUCAUGCACGAAAGCGUGGGGAGCAAACAGGAUUAGAUACCCCGGUAGUCCCUGUCUCUUAUAC
rnacentral:rRNA from 1 species